rnacentral:RNase_P_RNA from 1 species
AGGAGAGGGAGGGCAGCCGACGGUAGGGUCUUGACGACCCAGCUGAGGAAGGUCCCCCCUCCAUGAGACAGUGGUCCACGCAAGUGGAUGGGUGAGAGCCCAGGCAAGGGCGCAGAAACGACACAGCUCCGAUCCAGGAUGAUUCGCUGGGCGAUGACGUUCUUCGGAGAUUUGGUGAAACGGCGACUCCCCACUGGAGCAAACCCAAACAGCCAGAAUGACUACUCAGGACUGGCGGGUAGGGCGCUUAGUUGAAUGCUGCCUGAAACAGAAGGGGGCCUAUUACCCUCACCU